UUUUUUCUUUUUUUUUUUUUUCUCUUCUUUUCAUCCCUGUUGCCCAUAAAAGUAUACCUGCAACAAUUAGGUGAUGAGCUUAUCUUCAACUUUCCACAGCUCUCUUGAUAAAAGUUCAUUGUAUAAUCAUUUGAUUGUCAGCUUAACAAUUGGUACCAAAGCAACUAAACUUGAACAAUCGAUAUUUUAGACUUAAAGAAACUUUGCAUCCAUAGAUCUUGUGGAGGAAAGAAGUAUUUAUGGGAUUAAUUAGAUUUGCAAAAGAAGCAAUACCUUUUCGGGAAUGUCAAUUUUGCUUUUCCUAUUUCGGUUUCUUUUUUUCUUCAUUAGAUUAGUUUUAAUGCUUUAUAACUAAUUUUUGCUAUUAGAAAAAUGCAGUUUAGGUCUCCAAAUUACAAGCCUAGAGAAAUUCUUCUUUACUUUGAUCUUUUUAGGGAUAUAAGAAUGAUUCAAUAUAUGGAUUAAAUGUUCAUUAUGAAAUUUAAAAACAUAGUAUGUGUAAAAACUGUGUUGUUUGCUUCUGAACUUUCAGUGAUUUAAAGUCGUUUUGAUGACUUUCAUUUCAUUUAUUCUGAUUCAUUGCUUAGAUUAUGCUAGAGACUAUCUGAUAUCUCCACGUAGAUGAGAAAAUAUGAUUUUUAUUUAAUGCAUUCAGAUCUUAUGAUUAACUAUUUGGGAGAUUAUCUGAAAUCUCCAAGCUCAUCCACAUCCUGAUUCUGAUAGUAUAUGCCCAGAUUCUCUACUUUCUUUCUUCUCUCUUGUGCAGAAGAUUUCAUUUUUGAAUCACCUUUUGUGUGAUGCCCAAACUGAAGUUUCAGUUUUAAUUACACAUAUCUCUGCUUCCUUUUCAGGUCUGAAGUUGCUUACAUGAAG
rnacentral:misc_RNA from 1 species